AGAUUGAACGCUGGCGGCAUGCUUUACACAUGCAAGUCGAGCGGCAGCGCGGGGGCAACCCUGGCGGCGAGCGGCGAACGGGUGAGGAAUACAUCGGAACGUACCCCGGAGUGGGGGAUAACCCAGCGAAAGUUGGACUAAUACCGCAUAUGCUCUGAGGAGGAAAGCAGGGGACUUCGCAAGAGGCCUUGCGCUCUGGGAGCGGCCGAUGUCCGAUUAGCUAGUUGGUGGGUAAUGGCUCACCAAGGCGACGAUCGGUAGCUGGUCUGAGAGGAUGAUCAGCCACACUGGGACUGAGACGACGGCCCAGACUCCGUACGGGAGCAGCAGGUGGGAAUUUUGGACAAGUCGGGGGACAACCCGUGACUCCAGCCAGUGCCGCGGUGGCGGGAAGAACGGUCCGUU
rnacentral:rRNA from 1 species